rnacentral:rRNA from 1 species
AACGAACGCUGGCGGCAGGCUUAACACAUGCAAGUCGAGCGCCCCGCCAGGGGAGCGGCCGACGGGUGCGUAACGCGUGGGAACGUACCUUUUGGUUCGGAACAACUCCGGGAAACUGGAGCUAAUACCGGAUAAGCCCUAACGGGGAAAGAUUUAUCGCCGAAAGAUCGGCCCGCGUCUGAUUAGCUAGUUGGUGAGGUAACGGCUCACCAAGGCGACGAUCAGUAGCUGGUCUGAGAGGAUGAUCAGCCACACUGGGACUGAGACACGGCCCAGACUCCUACGGGAAGCAGCAGUGGGGAAUAUUGGACAAUGGGCGCAAGCCUGAUCCAGCCAUGCCGCGUGAGUGAUGAAGGCCUUAGGGUUGUAAAGCUCUUUUGUCCGGGAAGAUAAUGACUGUACCGGAAGAAUAAGCCCCGGCUAACUUCGUG